rnacentral:rRNA from 1 species
CUGCCUAGAGGUCGGGGACAACCAUUGGAAACGAUGGCUAAUACCGGAUAUGCCUUACGGGGUGAAAGAUUAAUCGCCUUUAGAAGAGCUCGCGUCUGAUUAGCUAGUUGGUAGGGUAAAAGCCUACCAAGGCAUCGAUCAGUAGCUGGUCUGAGAGGAUGACCAGCCACACUGGGACUGAGACACGGCCCAGACUCCUACGGGAGGCAGCAGUGGGGAAUUUUCCGCAAUGGGCGAAAGCCUGACGGAGCAAGACCGCGUGAGGGAGGAAGGCUCUUGGGUCGUAAACCUCUUUUGUCAGGGAAGAACAAAAUGACGGUACCUGACGAAUCAGCAUCGGCUAACUCCGUGCCAGCAGCCGCGGUAAUACGGAGGAUGCAAGCGUUAUCCGGAAUUAUUGGGCGUAAAGCGUCCGCAGGUGGCUGAUCAAGUCUGCGGUCAAAGACCGGGGCUUAACCCUGGAAAGGCCGUGGAAACUGAUCAAGCUAGAGUACCGUAGGGGUAGAGGGAAUUCCCGGUGUAGCGGUGAAAUGCGUAGAGAUCGGGAAGAACAUCGGUGGCGAAAGCGCUCUACUGGACGGUG